rnacentral:rRNA from 1 species
UACGUAGGGAGCAAGCGUUGUCCGGAAUCAUUGGGCGUAAAGCGCGCGUAGGUGGCCUCGUAAGUCCGCUGUGAAAGUCAAAGGCUCAACCUUUGAAAGCCGGUGGAUACUGUGAGGCUAGAGUACGGAAGAGGCGAGUGGAAUUCCUGGUGUAGCGGUGGAAUGCGCAGAUAUCAGGAGGAACACCGGUGGCGAAGGCGGCAUCCUGGACCAAUAUUGACGCUGAGGAGCGAAAGCCAGGGGAGCAAACGGG